UGGGGAAUAUUGCGCAAUGGGCGAAAGCCUGACGCAGCGACGCCGCGUGAGGGAUGAAGGCCUUCGGGUCGUAAACCUCUUUCAGCAGGGAAGAAGCGAAAGUGACGGUACCUGCAGAAGAAGCACCGGCUAACUACGUGCCAGCAGCCGCGGUAACACGUAGGGUGCAAGCGUUGUCCGGAAUUAUUGGGCGUAAAGAGCUCGUAGGCGGUCUGUCGCGUCUGCUGUGAAAACUCAGGGCUUAACCCUGAGCUUGCAGUGGGUACGGGCAGACUAGAGUGCGGUAGGGGAGACUGGAAUUCCUGGUGUAGCGGUGAAAUGCGCAGAUAUCAGGAGGAACACCGGUGGCGAAGGCGGGUCUCUGGGCCGUAACUGACGCUGAGGAGCGAAAGCAUGGGGAGCGAACAGGAUUAGAUACCCUGGUAGUCCAUGCCGUAAACGUUGGGCGCUAGGUGUGGGGCUCAUUCCACGAGUUCCGUGCCGCAGCUAACG
rnacentral:rRNA from 1 species